AUGUGUUAUAAUUGGUGUCAGCAGCGUUGUGCUAUAAUUGGUGUCAAUGGGAUUGCUAUAGGUGGCCUUUUGCAGUUGACAAAUGGUAAUGUUGUCAGUGUUUAUUGUUUCCAAAUGCCGGCUGAGAUCUUUUGGCACGGCACCCAGUGUGCCGAUCACCACCGGGACCACCUGUACUGGUUUAUGCCAGAGUCUUUGAAGUUCAAUCUUGAGGUCCUGAUAGCGGCUGAGCUUUUCCUGUUGUUUUUCGUCAAUGCGACUGUCACCAGGGAUGGCGACAUCAAUGAACCAAAGCUUUUUCUUUUCCACAACUGUGAUGUCUGGUGUGUUGUGUUCCAGAACUUUGUCAGUCUGGAUUCGGAAGUCCCACAGUAUCUUUGUGUGCUCAUUUUCCAAUACUUUUGCAGGUUUGUGAUCCCACCAGUUCUUUGCUGCUGGCAGGUGGUACUUGAGGCAUAAGUUCCAAUGAAUCAUUUGGGCCACAUAGUUGUGCCUCUGUUUGUAGUCUGUCUGUGCGAUUUUCUUACAGCAGCUGAGGAUAUGAUCAAUGGUUUCGUCGGUUUCCUUACACAGUCUUCAUUUUGGAUCACUGGCUGAUUUUUCUAUCUUGGCCAUAAUUGCAUUUGUUCUGAUGGCUUGCUCCUGGGCUGCAAGAAUCAAGCCUUUUGUCUCCUUCUUCAGUAUCCCGUUCGUGAGCCAUAGCCAGGUCUUUUCCUUAUCAACUUUUCCUUCAAUUUUUUCAAUUAUUAUUAUUAUUUGUCUAUUAUUAUUAUUAUUAUUAUUAUUAUUAUUAUUAUUAUUAUUAUUAUUAUUUGUUUUGGCUUUUGAGGUUUUGAAUAGAGCUAUAAAGAUUCCACAUGUUACAAAAGAGUCCAUAUUGUGAAAAAGUGGGAAAGCCUUCUCUUUGAAAUGAGCAACAAGUGACCCACGGUUGCACGUGGUCUUUUACCCAUCUAUAAUGCAGAGAAAGGGAGAUGGGCUUAAGCAAUGAAUAUAAUCUGUAUUUCUUACCAUUGCACUUCAGUUUCACCGACUUUAAUGAAACAAAAUCGUGUUCAAAUCUUUCUCUCAAAUAUCCCUAAUUUGUUUCUUAAAUUUCUUCCCUUUGCCCAAGAAAAAAGAAUAAUAACCUUUUAAGGGUUGAAUCAGUGCACAGCAUGUUACAAGAGAACGACUUUGUGAAACUAAUGCAAAAUGCCCAUCAUUUUACAAAAUUUUCAGUCAUGUUCAGUGGCCAAGUGUAAGUGCUAUAUGAAAAAUAAAUGUGCUAAUGCUAAAUAGGUAUUGCUUAAAUAGAAAAUGUAGGAGUAUUUCUCUGGCUCAGUUAAUUCCUUUGUACCACAUAAAUUCAGUAUUGUAGUAAUAAUCAUUAACAUUUAUACAACAUUUUCCUUAGCACUGAAAAUAUGUUUUGUACAUUGUUCCUGUAGUAAUACCUGAAAACCUUAUUCUGUAUUAUAGAAGAGAGAAGAUUCUGAAUUAAAGACUAAAGUCAUGGGCCACCUUAUAGUUCAGCCUAGGAAAAGGUAAAGGUUUUCCCCUGACAUCAAGUCCAGUCGGGUUCCACUCUAGGGGUUGGUGUUCAUCUCUAUUUCUAAACUGAAGUUGUCCAUAGACAUCUUCAAGGUCAUGUGGCUGGCGUGAUUGCAUGGAGCGCUGUUACCUUCCCACUGGAAUGGUACCUAUUGAUCUACUCACAUUUGCCUGUUUUCUAACUGCUAGGUUGGCAGAAGCUGGGUCAGACAGUGGGAGCUCACCCUGCUCCUCACAUUCGAACUGCUGACCUUUUGGUCAGCAAGUUCAGCAGCUCAGUGGUUUAACCCGCUGUGCCAGCGGGAGCUCCCAGUUCAGCAUAUGAUCAAAUGUGGGCUUUCUGAGAUGUUAAACCCUUAAGCAGAAGGAAAAUAACACAAUGUUACAAAUUUCUGCAAGUUGUAGGA
ensembl:lncRNA